rnacentral:tRNA from 1 species
AUUUGAAUAGUUUAAUAAAAAUGCUGACUUGUGGCGUCAGGGAUAUACUUUUGUAUUUCAAGUA